AAUCAACGCUGGCGGCAUGCCUAACACAUGCAAGUCGAGCGAGAAAGGGUAGCAAUACCUGAGUAAAGCGGCGCACGGGUGAGUAACACGUGGAUAACCUGCCUCAAAGUGGGGAAUAACACCGGGAAACCGGUGCUAAUACCGCAUAUUCUGACGAGAUCUGUGGAUUUUGCCAGGAAAGGAGCAAUUCGCUAUGAGAGGGGUCCGCGGCUGAUUAGCUAGNGGUGAGGUAACGGCUCACCAAGGCCACGAUCAGUAGCCGGUCUGAGAGGACGGUCGGCCACACUGGAACUGAGACACGGUCCAGACUCCUACGGGAGGCAGCAGUGGGGGAAUUUUUCGCAAUGGGGGCAACCCUGACGAAGCAAUGCCGCGUGGAUGAUGAAGUAUCUCGGUACGUAAAAUCCUUUUCGACGGGGACGAACCGCAAGGUUGACGGUACCCGUAGAAGAAGCCCCGGCUAACUCCGUGCCAGCCGCCGCGGU
rnacentral:rRNA from 1 species